GACGAACGCUGGCGGCGUGCUUAACACAUGCAAGUCGAACGAUGAACCCGGAGCUUGCUCCGGUGGAUUAGUGGCGAACGGGUGAGUAACACGUGAGUAACCUGCCCUUGACUCUGGGAUAACUGCGGGAAACUGUAGCUAAUACCGGAUACGACCCUCGGCGGCAUCGCCAGGGGGUGGAAAGAAUUUCGGUCAAGGAUGGACUGGCGGCCUAUCAGCUAGUUGGUGAGGUAACGGCUCACAAAGGCGACGACGGGUAGCCGGCCUGAGAGGGCGACCGGCCACACUGGGACUGAGACACGGCCCAGACUCCUACGGGAGGCAGCAGUGGGGAAUAUUGCACAAUGGGCGCAAGCCUGAUGCAGCAACGCCGCGUGAGGGAUGACGGCCUUCGGGUUGUAAACCUCUUUUAGUAGGGAAGAAGCGAAAGUGACGGUACCUGCAGAAAAAGCACCGGCUAACUACGUGCCAGCCGCCGCAGUAA
rnacentral:rRNA from 1 species